ensembl:lncRNA
GACAAAGCGGUAUUGAAACCUAAAAAUAGAAUGGCAGGGCCAGAUUUAAAUCAGGUUCACCUCGCUGGACUCAAGGACUGUGCAGCUCCAGAGAUCGCUGCCGGGGUGAGGGCUCGGGGCUGCCCGGCACACAGCCACUGCCCGCCCCGCAGCCCGGGGUUGCUGCUCGUCCUGCGGUGCCGGAGCCAUGGAGUUGUGCCAUUUGGCAGCAUCUCCCUCCCUGCCAAGAGGGGUGCGUUGCUUUCCUUAGGGAUGGAGGUGAGGGCAAUCGUGGGAUUCGCAGCAAAAGCUGCUCGUAAGGGGUCCAAGCACUGAAAUCCAGAAAAAUCACCGGGGUUCUGUUUGUUUAACAUUAAUGAUUCAAGGAGGGGGUGGGAGUACGUCUCAUGGAGCUAAAACCAGAUGUGAGACUUCGUAGCCACAAAGCUUUCUGGUUCCCCUCUGUUUGCUUUUCCCUCGGGAAGAUGAAAGCAACGGCAGGGAGGGAAGGCUCUGAUGGCAGCAGCUCUCUGCCUUCACCCUCGCUGCGGGGAUCCCUCUGGAUGCUGCUCCACAACCACAAGGGAGCUGCUUGGAUGCGCGUGCUGCUGCGGUGGAGGUCAGGACCCCGCUCCGUUUUGCACCAGGAGCACCGAGGAGGGCUGGGCUCACGGUCUGAGGGAAGCCCUGCGAGAGCUGCCUUCCCCUCAGGCCUCCUCCUACAAAUCUUUCCACGCUGCAAACAGAAAUUUGCAAAUCUAGGCCAAGCAUUCCCUGCUCCUAUUUCACCACCCAUGCUGUCGGAGGACGGUUGUGCUGUGUGCUAUGGAGACGCAGCACCUCAGGAUAAACCUGGACCGCUCUGCUCCGUGCUCAUGCGGCCCAGUGGGGUCCUCUUCUAUACCUGGACCAUUACCCUGGGACUAAUUAAAAUAAUUAACAAGUGUAAUUAACUGUUGAGAGUUUUAGCACAUUAUAUCAGCAACAAUUAAAUAAAUUGCCCGUUUUGUCUUGCAAAGAAAAGACAGAGAGGGGAACAAGGAGGAGGGAGGUGGAGAGACUGAUGCUGUGGCACGGGGAAGUGAAUAGGGGUCGGUGGCUCUUGUGUUGGAAGACAAAGCAGACAAAGCUGUGCCCCAUGGAAUUACCGAGUGGCAGAUGCAGAUCGGCCACAUUUCCCGCAGCGUGUAAUUAAGCUGAGGAGCUCAUUGCCCAAAUGAAUCCCCAGAUCCGGGGGGCACGGAGUGCUGGGGGCCCUGUGUUGUCCCCAGGUCCCUGCUGCCUGCUCCUGCUGUGCAUUCGGUGCCACAACACCGCGGUGGCUGCUCCGCAGAGUUAGGGGACGCGUCCCAGCCAUGUUCCAGCACUGCUCAGCCUGGCUCCAGCCUCCAGCACGGAGCCUUGGGGUUCGCCUCUCCUCACCAUCAGUGACCCCGGGCUGCAUUUUGGGCAGCACAGGAGCCCAGCGGGAUAGAGCAGAACCCACGUGCAGGUGCCCCUCUGCCCAAGGGACAGGGACAGCGGCUGAGCCAAUCCUGAGGUGAGGGGAGCAAGUAGGUGCCCUGCUUUGCUUUGUGCACCUUGCUGAAAUGCGUGAGCCCAAAGGGAAAGAAACAGCAGAAAUCCAAGCAAAUAAGGAAGAGAUCCAAGCAAAUACGAGGCCCAUCACAGUCAGUGGAGGUCCCUCUGCAGGCUGAACACAGGGAGGGCUCCAUCCCCACCUAUUUCUGCUCCAAGCAUGCCAGCGCGACUCAGCUGCCUUUCCUGAUUGAAAUCUAACACCUUUUAUACGGUUCACGUCUCAUAACUCGGGGGGGGGGGGUUUAAAGAAAAAUUAAUUCCUUGGACUUUGGCACCAGCGGGCAGCGGUCGGGGCAGAAGCUGUUCUCCUGCCUUGCAGAGCCACGCUCCCCCCCAGCAUCUCCCGUCAGCAUCUUCCUUCAGCCCAUUUGUUUUAGGGGAACACAAAAGCUCUGCUUUCUGCCCGUUUUCCCCCCCGUGCCGCCCGGUGCCCCCACACAGCCCCAGUGCCCACGGCCUCCCGCUGCCAUCUGCAUGACAAAGCCCACUGCUCCGCGCCUUUUGGGGAUUGCCCGCACCACAAACCUUAUGGGCUUCAUCAAUAGCUCGGAUGAUUUUAGGGUCUAGGUUUUUAUUCACUACAGCGUUGGCUGACAAAGCCCAUUACAUCAUCUGUUUGGAAGAGAAAUUCUCUGCAGCUGCUUGUGUGGCACAGGGGGGUUUGCUGGAAAAAAUAAGGCAGAUUUUUUUUUUCCGUUUGGUUUUGUUUCAUUCUUUCAGGGCAAUUUUCCUUCAAAUUGCUGGAAAACUGCACGUUAAAAAGGCUUCCAAAGUGGAAAGGAAAAGGGCAGAGCGCAGCAGCUUUAAGCAUUCUUUUUUUUUUUUGCUUUUUUUCAUUUCCCUUCCAAAAAGCCGGGGGGAGGGCAGCCCCCGCUCAGGGCCGUGUGUGGGGCUGGGGUGUGGGGACAGCGGGGUGCCCCGUCCUGUCCCAUUGCUGCUGGGAAGUCCUCCUGGCUCAGCACCGGUGUGAGCAGAGGAAUCCCUCCUGAGCUCAAAAGAGGCUGAAGUUGUAGCUUGGGUUGCUGUUGGAAUGGCUGCUAAGCUCGAAAGAAAGGUUUAUAAUUCAUAGGGUAACACAGCGCACGGCGCUAUGGAAAACAGCUCUUCACUCACUGCAAUUAAGAGUGAGAAAACCCCAUAACUGCAGAUAAAAAUCCGUUAUUAUAGAUGAGUGUGACAGACCACUGCGUUUCCCCAUCAGGUGAGCAGCACGGAUGGGCCGAGCCUCGUUAGCACAGGGCUUUCACAAGUGGGUUCUGAGACAUUUAAACUGUAUCCAGGAAAAGAUGGGUCCUAAAUGCACCGCAGGUGUCACUGCCGAAUGUGUCCUUGGGGGUAAUCCGGAUGUGCUGAGGAGCACGGAGGCGCAGCGCUGACACAGCACGGUGGGGGUGGGCUGGAGGUCCCAACCUGAAUGAGUGGAUGGCUGAGCGAUGGGAAUGCUGCCGGGUUGUGGCAGCCUCGGCAAUGGGGAGAAGGUGUGGGGGACGGGGGGUGAUCCGGGUCUGGGAGUUUCUUUUAGCAGCAGAGAUUGGCUCACGUUCAGUUCAUGUUUUAUCUCGGAUAGGAAUUGAUUUUUUUUUAAUAGGUCGAGAGUUCAGGAAAGCUAAAAUAAUAAUAAUAAUAAUAAUAAUAAUAUAAACCAGGAUCUGUCUUUUUCUGCUCCCUGAAUACAUAGGGCUGCUUUCCGGCACACAUUUCAUUUUCAGGUGAGUUCCUUUGUUGCCAUAGCAAUAUUACUCGUGUUUGGAAAGCCGCAGCUUUGGUUUUCUCCCAGGCCAUGCUGUCACACGCAGGCAGCACCCCGAGCCCAGCACAGAGCCGCACUGAGCUGCGCCGCAGCACGGAGGCAGAGGGGAGGGCCAUGGGGGAGCGCAGGGCUCCCACCCAAAGAUGCUCCUCUCUUCUCACCCUUCCACCCACACCUCACAGCGCGGCUUUGCAGUCAGGUCAAAGGAAACCCGGUGGCUUUGCUAAUUAGCACUUAUUAACGACGCUUCUCUGGCUGUGCCCGCAGCUCUCCCUCCAGGCACUGGCGCACGUGCAGCAACAAAACCCGUGUGCGCCCCAGAGAGCUCAGAAUCCCGUAAAUCCCAUUUGCUGCCACACAGGUGUCUCAUUUCCUCGCUCCGCAGAUCCCGGGCCCAGUGAAUUUAUUUUAUUACUCUGCUGAAGUAAAGGCUUUAAAUACUGCGGGACGUGCAUGACGGGGGUCUGUAACAGCAUUAAGAAAGGCACGAGGAAAAGGGAUUCCCCCGUAAGGGAACGGUUCUGUGGUCAUUUGGGUAAUAUGUAUUCUGUACAUGUGCCAGGAAUUAAGAUUUGAUUUUAAGUAUUUAUAUAUUAAAUAUUUAAUCUAGUCACAUCUAGUCGUUUGAUCCGGGCAGGUGGGAUCGCUGGGCUGACAUUGACGGGAUGAGCUUCAACAUGACCAAGCGCCGGGUCCUGCAGUUAGGCCGAGCAGCUGGAAGGCUGUGUGGGAGAAAUGGACCUGGAGGUGCCGGUCAGAGCUCAGCUGAACAUCAGUCAGCAGUGUGUCCAGGUGGCCAAGAAGGCCAAUGGCAUCCUGGCUUGUAUCAGAAAUGGUGCAGCCAGCAGGAGCAGGGAAGUAAUCAUCCCGUUGUGCUCAGGACUGCUGAGGUGGCACCUUGAGUGCUGUGUUCAGUUUUGGGUCCCUCACUACAAGAAAGACAUCGACGCGCUGGAGUGUGUCCAGAGAAGGGCAGUGGAACUGUGAACGGUGUGGAGCACAGAUCUUAUGGGAACUGAAGGAACUGGGAUUGUUCUGUGUGGAGGAGGCUCAGGGGAGACCUUACUGAUCACUACAGCUGCCUGACAGGAGGUUGUGGAGGGUGCAGGUUGGCCCCUUCUCCCCAGUAGCAGUGACAGCACAAUAGGUACCAGCCUUAAGUUGCACCAGGGGAGGUUCAGGUGGGAAAUUAGGACAAAUUUCUUCACCAAAAGAGUGGUGAGGCACUGCAAUGGGCUGCCCAGGGGUGGGGUGGAGUCACCAUCCCUGGAGGUGUUCAAGAACCAUUUAGAUGUUGUACUCAGGGACAUGGUUUAGUGGGGAAAUACGUGGUCAGUGGACAGUUGGACUAGAUGAUCUUGGAGGUCUUUUCCAACCUUGGUGAUUCUAUGAUUCACGCCAUUAAGUUAUUAAAAUACUUAAUGUUAAAUUCAAUUUUUUUCUGUACUUCUUUUAAUUAAAGCAGGCACAGAGGGCCACGCAUUAACCUAAAACCCACUCCGUGAUGCCACAUCAUAGCUAUGGCUGCGUGCUGGGAGGCUGUUCUGCUGCACCACCAUAAGCUGUUCACGUAGAUCACGUUUAAAGGCUGUUUUUGCUUGCUUUGUUUGUUUGUUUGCUUUUGUUUUUUAAUUCUGAAUAAGCCCCGUUCGGAUUAACAAGCAGAGGCUGCGUGCACACAGCAGACCCGUGGGUGCUGCAAGCCUUGCUGCGAUGCAGGCAGCAGAUGACAGCUGCAGGGCUGUGCGGCUACAGGGCUGCGGGGAUGAUGCAGGCAGAGCAGCGGGCAGCAGUGCUGGGGGCACACAGCCCUGUGACGUUGCCUUUCUGUGGGGGAAUGCCACCGGCGCAGUCAUUCCGGCAGCAUUAGGGCUGUGGUGGCUCCCAGGAUUACCCACGCACAGCCCUCCCAUCGCCGGCAGAAUCGCUGUGCCCAAACACAAUAGGAGCCUGGAAGAAAGCAACGGCCUCGACAAUGAGUUUCUCUGCUUUUAUAGGUUUUAGUGGAGCCCAUUGUGCUGUUUUAACACCCUUUUUUGUAUUUCGAUUCCUAAUAUCUUUGACUGGGGGAAGGGUGGAGAGGGCACCGAUUUAAUUCGAUAAUCCCCCUAAGCCUUGCUUAAUGCACUCACUCUAUUUUGUGCCUGUGAAUUUUAUAGUGGUAUUUGGGGUGGUUGCAGCACUGCACUGGAAUACGUCCCACCAUUUAUUUUUGCAGCCAUUGGAGGGAAAUGGCUCGCAGUGCUGAGCAGCCUAUUCACUGCGCUCACAUUGUCAAACCCAACAAACCGUCAGCCCAGAUGUGGUCGGAUCCCGGGGCUGCAGCAGGGAUGUGGGGAAAGGAGUUCAGAGUCCGCUGAAAAUUGCUCAAAUGAAUAUCUAACCAUGAGCAGAAGGCUUCCUCCCUCUGCCAAAAUUCUGAGCUGGAUUUGGGCUGUGAGGACAGCUCAUGGCUCCUUCUGAAGGGUCCCAAGACAGACAAGUCUUUGGGCUCCCAAAACUUCAUGGCUGUGCCAUGAGCAAUUUGCUCCUAGCAGGAACAUGAGGUGGUGCUGAGCCAUCCUGGGAGCAUCUCAGAAGGCUACAGCAGAGACAAAAAGUGCCAACGUAAGGGUCAGAAUGUCUGGGGCAGCUGGCAUGCAGCAGCAACAAAGCUAAGAUGAGAAGAAGGGGUUUGGAAGAGGUCAGGAUCAGAAAGACGGUGUCUGUAGGGAACCGGGUCAUCCAAAGAGGAGAAAAGAACAAAGGAAGAAAAAAUAUUAAGAGGCUGAGAUCUACCACACUGACAGGAGAUCUACACACUGACAGAGAAGACAGGAAGGUGUCCACAGACAUCUCAGAGAGAGGAGGAGACCUCAGCAGGAACACGGCAGGGCUCCUGUAGUUUAGCAAACUGCCCAAGAAUGUGCAGAAUAAGAAGCUUUUUUCACCUAUAGCCUGUGCAACUGCCUUCCUCAUUUCUUACAGCCCAGCAGUAAGGAUGUAAUGCCUCAUGAAAAUAAAUAUGGAUGGCUGGAAUUGUGUCUGUAAGGCUCCCAUUUGCCUUUCACAGCCUCAGCCCACAUCUUUCAGCCUUCCAUGCAAUUUCUCAUCAAACACCAGGACAGUACUCAGCCGCACAGAGCUCAUGGAUCUCAUAAACUCUACAGAAAAGCUUUCUUUAUUGGCAUAAAAGACACAACAGGGUAAGUAUUUGGAGGUGUUGAAAAACACUUCACCAGACAUUAAAUAAUAUUAUUUAUUCUAUCAAGAAAAGCUCUAAGGGACAUCCCAAAAAUGUGAGCCGUCUUCCAAUGGAGAUAAGAAAGAGAACACACGUACCAGCAAGCUGUUUCUAAAGCUCUGAUCAGU